ACACUUGGGUUCAUCUUCAUGAGGUGUAAUGGCGCCGGGAUGCGCUCUCCUCUUCUCAUUUGCCAAUUUAUUGCAGAUCCCUCCUCAAAAAAGUUUUGGGACUAACUCAGCCCCAUGGAGAUCAAGGUGAAUUAGAAAAACAACAAAACAAAACAAGAUUCAUUUUAACAUCUCAUUUUUCUAUCUCCAACUUUCCCUCCCCUCCUCCCACCCCAGGAAGAAAAGACUACGUUUGUUUCUGGUGAUACAUUCAUUGUAGGUGGGUGGGUGACUUCUAGAAGAGGAAAAUCAAGAAGAUUUGGAGAAGGAGUCUUGGAAGCUCUGGUGAAGUUUUCCAAAACUGGGAAGGACAGAGCCACAGGUCUGCCUGUUCUUUUGCUUUGCCAUUUGUGUGGAUACCUAGUAGAGCAAUUUGGGUGCCAUUCUUUGAGGAAUCCAUUGGAUCUGUCAGAAAGCUGAGUCUGCUCAGCCUGUGUUAGUGGAGAAGAGGGAAGGAAACUGGCUGGAGGCCGCUGGACCCACAGAGGACAAUAGACAAUCUCCUGCUGAUGCCCACUGGAUCCAAAGAGAGAAACUCUAUAGAAUUAUGAUCUAGGUUUGACUGACUCCUGGCAAGAAGCCCUACCCGCCAGCCAAUUUGGAUGAGCCUUGUUCUGGGUGCUGGUAAUAUAACCAAACAAAAUUGACAAAGUGUCUGGUGCAUACAUUCUAACGGGGAGAGACAAACAACAACAAAGAAAGAAAGAAAAAACAAGAUGCCAUCAGCGACCUGCCCGUAUCGCCUUGCCCCACCGAGAAGUCAGGCCACAGACAGUUCCUGUAUAUAGCAGUGCUUCUUUUGGCUUCUGUCUGUAGGUGUUUUCUCACCACAGAAGAGUGCUCAGCCCUCUGGAAGUUCUCUAAAGAGUUAGAUCUCCCAGGGGUGAUCAUCUAUCAAUGAAGGAUGGGAAUUGGUAAACAACUAUUCCAGAUUCCUUGCUUCUCAGUGGAAUAAUUCUGAGGUGCAUUCUACAGUUUCUCAGAAGGAAUCGAGCCCUAGUUAUUUGCAAUGGUUUCUCACUCAUUAAUGCAUCUUUAUGGCUUUACUACUUUCCGUAUCUGAGGUCAUCACUUUAUCACUAUUUCCUGGGACCACUUCCUAAAUAAACUAUAUACACCCAAA
ensembl:lncRNA LINC01980 long intergenic non-protein coding RNA 1980